UUGGACAUGACUGAGCGACUAAGCAAGCAAGCAGGCAAAGCAGACUGAGAGAGACUGCGAAGGGCAGAUGCUGACACACCAGGAUAGAUAGUUUGGCUUUCCCGAGGAGAUCACUGUAAGUGGUAGGGUCAAUCAAACCGGAAACCAUGGUGGAGACCUGGAGCUACCCAACAUCAUCUGGAACCGUGGACAAGCACGAACUGCUUAUCCUCAGAGUUCUCUAGCUAGAAAGAUGAGAUGGGGAAAUGGAUCACAAUGUACUCAGAUAUCUGGGCUAGUUGGCCUCAAGCGUCUCACCGUGGCUCAUUUCUCUUUCCCUCUCACUGGCACACUCCUCCUGGUGGGUUCAUCUGUUGCUGAGGCUUUAACUCUCAGGCUGACCAUUCCCUCCGGAAGUGGAGCCCCUUUCCUGCCAGCUGCCCGUGGAGCCUCUUUAGUGGCAUCAUCUGCAUCACCAUAAAGAUGACGACUCUUGACACGGCUGAGUGCUUCCUGUGGGCCCCACUGUCCUGGCCCUCUGCGUGGGCACUUGCCUCCAUGGAAUCUCCCACUCCUGUGACUGAGGUAGUGCCACUUCCCCCGGGGCAGAGACAGUUACGGGACCUGCCCAAGGUCACCACAGCUGUGAUCCCAGUAGCUAUCCAUUAAAGAUGGUGGAGACACAGGAUAGAAGAAACAGGGAUUCCUGAGUUACCAUUGGGAAACAGCCAAACAGCCAGGAACACCUGGUCUCUAUCAUCAGAGUCUUUUCCAACGAGUCAGCUCUGCAUCAGGUG